AGUAACACGUGGGCGACCUGCCUUCGAGUGGGGAAUAACGCUGGGAAACCAGCGCUAAUACCGCAUACGCUCGGUCGUUCAGUCGACCGAGGAAAGCCUUGUGUGCUCGAAGAGGGGCCUGCGGCGGAUUAGCUAGUCGGUGGGGUCACGGCCUACCGAGGCGACGAUCCGUAGCUGGUCUGAGAGGAUGAUCAGCCACAUUGGGACUGAGACACGGCCCAA
rnacentral:rRNA from 1 species